GUGCUUGCUUCAGCAGCACGUAUGCUAAAAUUGGAACAAUUCAGAGAACACUAGAAGGGCCCCCGGGCAAGGAUGACACGCACGUGUGUGAAGCAUUCUGUAUUUUU
rnacentral:snRNA from 1 species